rnacentral:rRNA from 1 species
AUCCUGGCUCAGAACGAACGCUGGCGGCAUGCCUCAUACAUGCAAGUCGAACGGCACCUUCGGGUGCAGUGGCGCACGGGUGAGUAGCGCGUGGGAACCUGCCCAGCAGUGGGGGAUAACCGAGGGAAACUUCGGCUAAUACCGCAUGCGCCCGGGUAACCGGGGAAAGAUUUAUCGCUGUUGGAGGGGCCCGCGUCGGAUUAGCUAGUUGGUGGGGUAACGGCCUACCAAGGCUUUGAUCCGUAGCUGGUCUGAGAGGAUGAUCAGCCACACUGGGACUGAGACACGGCCCAGACUCCUACGGGAGGCAGCAGUAGGGAAUAUUGGACAAUGGGCGAAAGCCUGAUCCAGCAAUGCCGCGUGAGUGAGGAAGGCCUUAGGGUUGUAAAGCUCUUUCGCACGCGACGAUGAUGACGGUAGCGUGAGAAGAAGCCCCGGCUAACUUCGUGCCAGCAGCCGCGGUAAUACGAAGGGGGCGAGCGUUGUUCGGAAUUACUGGGCGUAAAGGGCGCGUAGGCGGCCCGUUUUGUCAGGCGUGAAAGCCCUGGGCUCAACCUAGGAAUUGCGCUUGGGACGGAUGGGCUAGAGAUCGGGAGAGGAGAGUGGAAUUCCCAGUGUAGAGGUGAAAUUCGUAGAUAUUGGGAAGAACACCAGUGGCGAAGGCGGCUCUCUGGACCGAUACUGACGCUGAGGCGCGAAAGCGUGGGGAGCAAACAGGAUUAGAUACCCUGGUAGUCCACGCUGUAAACGAUGUGUGCUAGACGUUGGGGAGCCUAGCUCUUCGGUGUCGCAGCUAACGCUUUAAGCACACCGCCUGGGGAGUACGGCCGCAGGUUAAAACUCAAAU